AUGGCCAUAUCACAUUGAAACACCAGUUCUCAUUUGAUCACCAAAGUUAAGCAAUGUUAAGCCUGGCCUGUACUUAGAUGGGUGACCACUUGGGAAUACCAGGUGAU